UACGUAGGGACCAAGCGUUGUUCGGAUUUACUGGGCGUAAAGGGCGCGUAGGCGGCAAUUCAAGUCAUCUGUGAAAUCUCCGGGCUUAACUCGGAACGGUCAGAUGAUACUGCUUUGCUAGAGUGCAGAAGGGGCAAUCGGAAUUCUCGGUGUAGCGGUGAAAUGCGUAGAUAUCGGGAGGAACACCAGUGGCGAAGGCGACUACCUGGCCUGUUCUUGACGCUGAGGCGCGAAAGCUAGGGGAGCAAACGGG
rnacentral:rRNA from 1 species